rnacentral:rRNA from 1 species
AUUGCACGCUGGCGGCAGGCCUAACACAUGCCAGUCGAGCGAGCGGCGGACGGGUGCGUAAUGUAUGGGGACUGCCCGAUAGAGGGGGAUAACUACUGGAAACGGUGGCUAAUACCGCAUCCUAUCGGAUAACACAUAUGGGAUUAGCUAGUAGGUGGGGUAACGGCUCACCUAGGCGACGAUCUCUAGCUGGUCUGAGAGGAUGAUCAGCAACACGGGUACUGAGACACGGCCCAGACUCAUACGGAGGCAGCAGUGGGGAAUAGUGCACAAGGGGCGCAAGCCUGAUGCAGCCAUGCCGCGUGUAUGAAGAAGGCCUUAGGGUUGUAAAGUACUUUCAGCGGGGAGGCGUGACCCGCAGAAGAAGCACCGGCUAACUCCGUGCCAGCAGCCGCGGUAAUAC